GCCUAAUACAUGCAAGUCGAGCGAAUUGAUGGGAGCUUGCUCCCUGAUAUUAGCGGCGGACGGGUGAGUAACACGUGGGUAACCUGCCUGUAAGAUUGGGAUAACUCCGGGAAACCGGAGCUAAUACCGGAUAACAUGUUGAACCGCAUGGUUCAACAUUGAAAGAUGGCUUUUGCUAUCACUUACAGAUGGACCCGCGGCGCAUUAGCUAGUUGGUGAGGUAACGGCUCACCAAGGCGACGAUGCGUAGCCGACCUGAGAGGGUGAUCGGCCACACUGGGACUGAGACACGGCCCGAACUCCUACGGGAGGCAGCAGUGGGGAAUAUUGGACAAUGGGGGCAACCCUGAUCCAGCCAUGCCGCGUGUGUGAAGAAGGCUUUCGGGUUGUAAAGCACUUUCAGUGAGGAGGAAAAGUUAGUCAUUAAUACUGGCUAGCCUUGACGUUACUCACAGAAGAAGCACCGGCUAACUCCGUGCCAGCAGCCGCGGUAAUACGGAGGGUGCAAGCGUUAAUCGGAAUUACUGGGCGUAAAGCGCGCGUAGGUGGUUUGAUAAGCGAGAUGUGAAAGCCCCGGGCUUAACCUGGGAACGGCAUUUCGAACUGUCAGGCUAGAGUAUGGUAGAGGGUAGUGGAAUUUCCUGUGUAGCGGUGAAAUGC
rnacentral:rRNA from 1 species